rnacentral:rRNA from 1 species
GCCAGCAGCCAUAUCACCCUGCAACUAACAACUGGCAGUCCACUGAAGCUAAGCAGGUGUGAGCCUGGUCAGUACCUGGAUGUGAGACCUCCAGGGAAAAACUAAGGUUGCUGCUGGAA